CAGUCGCCGCGGUAAUACGAAGGGUGCAAGCGUUACUCGGAAUUACUGGGCGUAAAGCGUGCGUAGGUGGUGGUUUAAGUCCGUUGUGAAAGCCCUGGGCUCAACCUGGGAAUUGCAGUGGAUACUGGGUCACUAGAGUGUGGUAGAGGAUAGUGGAAUUUCCGGUGUAGCAGUGAAAUGCGUAGAGAUCGGAAGGAACAUCUGUGGCGAAGGCGACUAUCUGGGCCAACACUGACACUGAGGCACGAAAGCGUGGGGAGCAAACAGGAUUAGAGACCCCUGUAGUCCCUGUCUCUUAUAC
rnacentral:rRNA from 1 species